rnacentral:rRNA from 1 species
AUGAACGCUAGCUACAGGCUUAACACAUGCAAGUCGAGGGGCAGCAUGGUCUUAGCUUGCUAAGGCCGAUGGCGACCGGCGCACGGGUGAGUAACACGUAUCCAACCUGCCGUCUACUCUUGGACAGCCUUCUGAAAGGAAGAUUAAUACCUGAUGGUAUGAUGAGAUUGCAUGAUAGCAUCAUUAAAGAUUUAUCGGUGUACGAUGGGGAUGCGUUCCAUUAGGUAGUAGGCGGGGUAACGGCCCACCUAGCCGACGAUGGAUAGGGGUUCUGAGAGGAAGGUCCCCCACAUUGGAACUGAGACACGGUCCAAACUCCUACGGGAGGCAGCAGUGAGGAAUAUUGGUCAAUGGACGAGAGUCUGAACCAGCCAAGUAGCGUGAAGGAUGAAGGUCCUACGGAUUGUAAACUUCUUUUAUAAGGGAAUAAACCCUCCCACGUGUGGGAGCUUGUAUGUACCUUAUGAAUAAGCAUCGGCUAACUCCGUG